rnacentral:snRNA from 1 species
AUGUUCACUUUGGCAGCACGUAUACUAAAAUUGGAACAACAUGGAGAAGAUUAGCUUGGCCCCUGCACAAGGAUGACACACAAAUUCAUGAAGCAUUCCAUAUUAUG